rnacentral:rRNA from 1 species
UUAUGACCCUGGCGGCACUGCUUAACACAUGCAAGUCGAGCGGGGGAAGGUACCCUUCGCGUACCUGACCUAGCGGCGGACGGGUGAGUAAUGCUUAGGAAUCUGCCUAUUAGUGGGGGACAACGUUCCGAAAGGAACGCUAAUACCGCAUACGUCCUACGGGGGAAAGCAGGGGAUCUUCGGACCUUGCGCUAAUAGAUGAGCCUAAGUCGGAUUAGCUAGUUGGUGGGGUAAAGGCCUACCAAGGCGACGAUCUGUAGCGGGUCUGAGAGGAUGAUCCGCCACACUGGGACUGAGACACGGCCCAGACUCCUACGGGAGGCAGCAGUGGGGAAUAUUGGACAAUGGGCGCAAGCCUGAUCCAGCCAUGCCGCGUGUGUGAAGAAGGCCUUUUGGUUGUAAAGCACUUUAAGCGAGGAGGAGGCUCCUUUAGUUAAUACCUAAAGUGAGUGGACGUUACUCGCAUAAUAGCCCGGCUACUUUGUGCCUCACCCCGGUAUCAGAGGUCUACCGUAUCGAUUCUGGCGUAAG